UACGGGGGGAGCAAGCGUUGUUCGGAUUUACUGGGCGUAAAGGGCGCGUAGGCGGCCACCGCAAGUCGGUUGUGAAAUCUCCGGGCUUAACCCGGAAAGGUCAAUCGAUACUGCGGGGCUAGAGUGCAGAAGGGGCAACUGGAAUUCUCGGUGUAGCGGUGAAAUGCGUAGAUAUCGAGAGGAACACCUGCGGCGAAGGCGGGUUGCUGGGCUGACACUGACGCUGAGGCGCGAAAGCUAGGGGGAGCGAACGGG
rnacentral:rRNA from 1 species